rnacentral:rRNA from 1 species
AACGAACGCUGGCGGCAGGCCUAACACAUGCAAGUCGAACGAAGUCUUCGGACUUAGUGGCGCACGGGUGAGUAACACGUGGGAAUAUACCUUACGCUGGGGGAUAACAUCGGGAAACUGAUGCUAAUACCGCAUACGCCCUUCGGGGGAAAGAUUUAUCGGCGAAAGAUUAGCCCGCGUCCGAUUAGCUAGUUGGUGAGGUAAUGGCUCACCAAGGCUCCAAUCGGUAGCUGGUCUGAGAGGAUGACCAGCCACACUGGGACUGAGACACGGCCCAGACUCCUACGGGAGGCAGCAGUGGGGAAUAUUGGACAAUGGGCGCAAGCCUGAUCCAGCCAUGCCGCGUGAGUGAUGAAGGCCUUAGGGUUGUAAAGCUCUUUCACCCACGACGAUGAUGACGGUAGUGGGAGAAGAAGCCCCGGCUAACUUCGUG